AGGCGCCCCAAGAUUUUACCUUUUUAAAGUAAUCUCUGUACCCAUCAUGGGGCUCAAACCCACAACCCUGAGAUCGAGUCACAUGCUUCACUGAUUGGGCCAGCCAGGCACUACUAUGACUUUCUUGAACUUGGCUUAUUAUUUUUUUUAUUUUUUAUUAAAAACAUUUUUUUUAAAUGUUUAUCUUUGAGCGACAGAGUGCGAGCGGGGUGGGGAGCAGUGGGGCAGAGAGAGAGGGAGACACAGAAUCGGAAGCACACUCCAGGCUCUGAGCUGUCAGCACAGAGCCCAAUGCGGGACUCGAACUCAUGAACUGCAAGAUCACGACCUGAACUAAAGCCGGACGCUUAACCGACUGAGCCAUCCAGGCGCCCCUGAACUCGGUUUAUAUAAAGCAUGUUUUUAUAGUUUCAUUCAAUGUGCAUAUAGCCAGAAAGAAUAGCCUUGUUCAAUAUGCUUUAAUUUUUUUCCCAUUGGUUUGUCUUUGUUUCUUUCACAUAACAAUUAAUGAAAAUGGUUUGUUAGAUAAUGCUUUGCUGAGCACAUUGGGUCUUCAAACUGAGCCAUGUAUGAAGACUUUUGAGCAGGUACACGAACACAUGUGAUUUUAAAGGAAUAGAUGUCCAAAUUCUCACCUUUUACUUCUUCUCCUCCCAAACACUGACCUGUGUGAGAGGCCCCCGUUGGGGGCGUCACGCUGUGUUGUCUCUCCUUUCAUGGCGCCUUUUGCAGACCCCACUUUCACUUCCUAGAAGAAAGUGCCCACACACUCACAGUCUGGUGUUUCUUUGCUCCAGAGUGCAGUAGCCUCUGGGGCUCCAUACAAAGGGACAGAUGGCCUUGAAAUCAGGUGAGUGACAGUAGCAGUGAUAGCAUCUGGGCCCAGAGGAAAUGUGCACUCAAAGUGAACUUACUUUUCAGCCCACAGGUCCCAGCUCUGGGAGCAAGAUCCAUCAAGUGAAGCAAGGAGCGGGUCUCAGGACCUGCGUGCGGUCAUUUGUGGGGACACCACUGACCAGAGACCAAGAUUUCUAACCAGGAAUUUAGGGCAAUGCAAGGAAAAACUAGAGACACAGCGUCCCCAUUACUGGCUGUUUUCCAAUAACAGAAGAAAAUGAUUAAGGACCAGGAAUCGCUGACACUGGAGGAUGUGGCUGUGGACUUCACCCAGGAGGAGUGGCGGCUCCUGGCCCCCACCCAGAAGGACCUGUACCGGGACGUGAUGCUGGAGAACUUCAGGAACCUGGUGUCAGUGGGGUAUGUGGCCAGCAUGCCGGCUGCACUCUCCAGACUGGAACGAGGGGGACGGUGGAUGACAGAAGAUGAAACCCGCCGUCGGAUCUGUCCAGAGAUCAAGAAAGAUGGUGGCCAUCUACAGGGGCACUUGCAAAAUCAAAGAUGUCCAAAGGGAAUGAAACAAUGCCAUGAACAUAAUGCAUUUGGAAACACUGUUCAUCGGAGUAAAAGUAAUUUUCCUGUAAGGCAAAGUCAUGACAUCUUUGACUUACAUGGGAAAACACUGAAGUCAAAUUUAAGUUCAGUUAACCGGAACAGAAGCUACGAAGUAAAGAACCUGACUGAGGUUAAUGGGGACAUGAAAUCCUUUUCCCGUACAAAGCAUGACCAGUAUUGUAUUGAAAUUAAAUUUCCUGAAUGUGGAAAUUCUGCCAAUACAAAUUCCCAAUUCAUCAAGCAUCAGAGAACUCAAAAGACAGAGAAACCCCACGUAUGUGGUGAGUGUGGAAAGGGCUUCUUCAAGAAGUCUCGGCUCACAGAUCAUCAGAGAGUGCACACAGGAGAGAAGCCUCAUGGAUGCAGCAUAUGCGGCAAAGCCUUUUCCAGAAAGUCCAGGCUCACCGAACACCAGAAAACGCACAUAGGAGAGAGGCGGUACGCGUGCACUGAAUGUGACAGAUCAUUCCCCAAGAAAUCACGGCUCCUUGUGCAUCAGAAAACUCACACAGGAGAGAAACCCUAUGUGUGCAGUGAGUGUGGAAAAGGCUUCUUCAAGAAGUCUCGGCUCAUUAACCAUCAGAGAGUUCACACGGGAGAGAAGCCCCAUGGAUGCAGUCUGUGUGACAAGGCAUUUUCCAGAAAGUCCAGGCUCAUUGAACACCAGAGAACUCACACAGGAGAAAAACCUUACGAAUGCACCCAAUGUGACAAAACAUUCCGCUGGAAGUCGCAGCUCAACGCCCAUCAGAAGACUCAUACAGGAGAGAAACCGUAUAUAUGCAGUGAUUGUGGGAAAGGCUUCAUUCAGAAGGGCAAUCUCAUCGUACACCAGCGGACGCACACUGGGGAGAAACCUUACGUAUGCAGUGACUGUGGAAAAGGCUUCAUUCAGAAGGGCAAUCUCCUUAAACAUCAACGCAUUCACACUGGAGAGAAACCCUAUGUAUGCACUGAAUGUGGGAAAGGCUUUAGCCAGAAGACCUGCCUCAUAUCCCAUCAGCGAUUUCACACUGGAAAGACGCCCUUUGUGUGUAGUGAGUGUGGAAAAUCCUGUUCCCACAAGUCCGGUCUCAUUAACCACAGGAGGAUUCACACAGGAGAGAAACCCUAUACCUGCGGUGACUGCGGGAAGGCCUUUAGAGAUAAGUCGUGCCUUAACAGACACCGGAGGACUCAUACAGGAGAGAGGCCCUACAGGUGCACUGACUGUGGGAAGGCUUUCUCCCACCUGUCUUGCCUCGUUUACCAUAAGGGAAUGUUGCACGCAAGAGAGAAAGGUGUACGUCCAGUCACGGUGGGGAAUCCUUUCUCAGAGAGCCACAGCCCAUCACGUUCAAGUGAUAGCACGCAGGAGAAAGACCCUGUUAACGUGUCCAGGCCAAUGCCUUCUGUAGCGGCUCAGACUUCGUUACGCCUCUGCGGGCUCCUAGCAAAUAGGAACACAGCCACGGUGGGACAGCCAGGUGCUAGAUGUGCACCACCAGCAGAUAACCGAGUUUGCACAGGAAAAAGCACACAGGCAUAAAGUGUGAUACAAUCUAGGUGGAAAGCCCCUGAAUAAAACCUGCCAGGUCAGUGUGUGGCUGACAGGCGUAUACUGAGACGCAUAGUGUGAAGCCCGGGAAUAGUAUAAAAAGACAAAUAGAAUAAAGAUCUGGAAAGCCUUUGUGGAAAGAUAGAGCCUACCAGGUGUCUCACGGGUCCCAUAUCAGCAGUGAGCUCAUAGCUGGUAGAAAUAUAAUGACUGUGGGAAAGUCCUUCCCCAGAGAGAAGACCUCACUAGGUGCCAGACGGUUCCCACAGGAGAGAAACUGUUGGAAGAGCUUUGAAGGCAGUGACUGUGGCAGGACUGUCACUGAAGCAUCCUCAGGCUGGGGAAAUCCUACAGAAAAAAAGGACUCUGAGCACACCAACUGUGGAAUGUCUUCAGCAAAAUAGCAGCAAACACAUCCAGCGAAUACGCCCUGUGAAAGUGAAUAUUUCAGAGAUUUCUGCCAGAAGUCUAGACUCAUUCCACACAGUGAGCAUUUCAGGACAAUAUACCUUGAAUCAGACUCCUAAUUGAUGUGAUGGUGACUCCUUAAUUCAAAGGAGGUGGUAGAUGGUGCACAUCAGUGGUUAGAACUGUAACAGUGCACCCCCCCUUUUCUGGGGGGGCGCAUGAACCUUUCAUUCCCACCCAGGAUCAGUAUUUGGUUAGCUCCUGUAUUAUUUUGGUUCUAAAUUUAUUCGGUUAAUUUUAGACCACUGAAGUCCUUCAAAAGGAAGCUGAAUACAUUUAAUUCAGUGUUGUACCGUGGCAUAUUUGGAUGCGUUUGACUUUGUAAAUAUCCCCCAAAGGAACAACUACUCGGAACUCCUGAAUAACAUAUCCGUCAAGUUCUUUGCCUAGAAGACAGUUCCCAGCCGGUACACACACUGCUCAGAAAACCUUUCAUUAGCUAUUUCCAUACAUGAUCUACAGAUGCUGACAGUAGUGAACUAAAUAAGAAUCCUUGCUGCCUUUGAAGUGUUUUUUUUUUCUUUUUAAACUGAAUUACAUGCAUAUAGCACUUUGACCUUCCAGCACACGUAAUCAGAGGAUAGAUACACCUACAUUAGUUGAAAGGGACAUAAGGUAAAAGGUACAAAGUAUCAUGGUAAUUUCUUGCUCGAGGGUCAUGUUAUUAUUUGGACAGGGAUGGGGAAAAGACUCAGUUGGUUUUACAUGUGUAAAAUAGGAUGUGGAUUCUUUGUUAAAAGAUACUUUCUUUCUACCUGGAUUAUAAAUCCCUACCCAGAUAGUUUAUAGAUUUUCGCAUAUUCCCCAGCCCAUAGCAGACUGGAAACAAAUCCCAUGGCUUUGUAAGGCGACUGAAAGUAAAUGUGUGCCCUAAAUGAAUGACCCACUAGACUAAUCAAUCAAGCGGAUUUUUGUUCACUUAAGGAAAGGAGCUAUGGGAAAGAAAUUUCAAAGAUCAGAAAAUUAUAAAAAGAAAAAAAAAGAAUCCUGAAUAGAGGCCCCUGGCAAUAGAGAAAGGGCAGAUCAGAGAAGGAAUAGGAUCCUCAGAGCAAGCCCAAUUGAUAGAAAAUGACGUCACCUCCAAAAAGGAGGACAGUGCGUUAGAUGGGUGGAGGUGAGAUUCUUUUGAUGCUGUGAAGCGCCCUGACCCUCGCUCCACAGUCUGCCCCCUGUUAGAGCUUUUAUCUCAGGGAUCCCAGCUCCUUUGUGAUGUGAUGAACUGGGACACGUAGCUUCAUCACGCUCACUGUCCUGGGAACGGGGCCUUGUCCUCUCUCCUGUACUCAGGGUUCUUUCCCUUGCUUCAGGAAAGAUCUGUCCAGCUUAAAAGCGGAGUGCUGAUUACAAGGGAAAAAAGUGGAAAUUUGUCAUCAAGUGGCUGUCUCAUCAUUGAAUUCCAAACACUGGGUUUUUGAGGAAUUUACUGCAACAGAUGUUUUUUUGAGCGCCUACACUGUGCCAGGCACUGUUGUAGACAUGGGGUACACACUGCUGAACAAAACAUGCAAAAUAAUGGCCUCUGGAAGGAUGGAUUUGGGACAGAUGCUCUUCAAAGAAUCAGAAAUGGACUCUUGUUCGGCUCAGGCUUCAGGUCAUCUCCACUCUUCGUGUCGCGAAUCUGCACCGCCUCUCGUGGCCCGUGUCUUUGUCCUUGAACCUUCAGUCGGGGUCCCUGAAGGGGCUGCCCAGGCCUGCCUCGAACCCUGAGGCCCAGGUGCUGACUCACCUUUCCGAGGCUGGCGUCCCAGGAGUUACUGACACUGGAGGAUGUGACCAUGGACUUCAUGUGGGAGGAGUGGCAGCUCCUGGCCCCCACCCAGAAGAACCUGCCGGGACGUGAUGUUGGAGGACUACAGGAACCUGGUGUCAGUGGGGCAUCAAGCCAACAAACCAGACGCGCUCUCCAAGCUAAAUAAGGGGAAGAACCGUGGGCGAUAGAAGAGGAAGUCCGCAGUGGAACCAGUCCAGAAGCUGAAGUUGAUGAUCACCUACGGUGACACUUGCGUGGCUGGAGAUGCCUAAAGACAACUAAAUGCGGAACAAUGCUGUGAACAUGAUGCCUCUGAAAAUAUCGUCCAUCUGGACCAUCAUUUUCCUUUAAGGCAAAAUUAGGGAAAAACUCUGAAAUCAAAUUUAAAUUCAGUCAGUUAAAGCAGAGGCUAUGAAAUAAAGAACUCCAUGGAGUGUAGUGGAGAUGAGAAAUCCUUUCUCCUUACAAAGUAUAAGCAAAUUCAUACUAAAAUUGCCUGAAAUUGGAAAACCCAUCAGCACUAAGGCUCCCGUUUGUUCAGCAUCAGAGGGCUCACAAAAUUGGGGAAUGCACGUAUGCAGUGAAUGUGGGGAAUCCUUCAUCAGGAAGUCUCAGCUCACUAAACGUGAGAGGAUUCACCGGGGAGAGAAACCCCAUGGAUGCAGUACAUAUGGGAAGGCACAUACCACAAAGUCCAGGCUCAUUGGACACGAGAAAAUUCACACAGGAGAGAAACCUAUAGGUGAAUAUGGCAAAGCCUGUUACAGGAAGUCAGAAGUCAUUAUACACGAGAGAAAUGGAAGAGGAGAAAACCCCAUUGAGGCACUAAAUGUGGCAGAGCCUUGCUCAUUAAAUGACAUCUCAUUUUACUUCAGAAAACUCAUACCUGAGAGAAACCCUAUGUAUGAUUGUGGAAAGGGCUUCACCCAGAAGAUUAGUUUCAUUGUACGUGAGUGAACUCAUACUGGUGAGAAACCCUGUAUAUGUAGUGAAUGUGGACCAGGCUUCAUCCACAAGGUGAGCCUCUUACGACAUCAGGGAGUUCAUGCAAACAAGGCUUCCUUUGUAUGUAGGGACUGUAGGAAAUCCCGUCCUCAGGGGCACCUGGGUGGCUCAGUCAGUUAAGUGUCCAACUUCGGCUCAGGCAUGAUCUCGUGGUUCGUGAGUUGGAGCCCCGUGUUGGGCUCUGUGCUGACGGCUCCGAGCCUGGAGCCUGUUUCAGAUUCUGUGUCUCCCUCUCUCCCGGCCCCUCCCCACUCACGAUCUAUCUCUCACUCUCUCUCUCUCUCUCUCAAAAAUUAAAAAAAAAAAGAAAAUCCUGUCUUCAGAAGUCAGGUCUCAUUAAACAUCAGAAAACGCACACAGGAAAGAAACCUCAUAAAUGUAGUGAAUGUGGGAAAACCAUCAGGAAGCAACAGCUCAUUAUCCAUUAAAGAACUACAGGAGAGAGAUCUGUGAAUGCCCUGGGUGUGGGAAAGCUUUUGCCUACAAGUCUUGCCUUAUUAAACAAACAAACAAACAAAAACCCCCCACACAAAGGAGAAACACGUAGAUUUAUAAAAUUGGAAAACCCUUCCACAGGGUCACAGCUUCUUAGAAGUGAAGUCCUGUUAAUUUGGUGACUGUGCAAAUGCCUUCUGUCGCCACUCAGACAUUAUUAAAUAUCAGUGGGCUUCUAGCAAAUAGGAACUUAGCCCUUUUGGAACAGCCUCUAGCUAGGUUGCGCCCUCCAGUGUUGGCAGAAAAUUUGCCCAGGGGAACAAAAAUCUUACAAGUGUAGUCAAUGUGACUGUGCCUUCAGUGGUCAAUGAUUUCUCACAUUAUGUCUCAAAAAACCUAUGGGAAGGAAAUGCAGAGUAGAAAAACAGUGAACAAAAAAUUCCAGGCCAUUAUAUAGUUAAGUGUAUUUUGAGAGAAAUAUGAAUGCAGAGACUGGGAAAGCCUGAUAAAUUUCAUUCUCUAUAUUGUUGAUAAAGAGACACAGUCUGAUGUUAGUAACCUUGUCUUUUCUUUGUUUGCCUCUUUUGUUUCCUCCCCUGUGUUCAUUUGUUUCUUAAGUUCCACGAGUGACAUCAUAAGGUAUUUGUCUUUUUCUGAGGUAUUUUGCGUAACAUAAUACUCUCUAGCUUCCACAUCAAUUGCUCAGUUUCGUCAACUAAUCUGGAAUGCCUGGGAUCAUAAGUGAAACAAAACACUGCUGUGAGCAUAAAGAGAUAAGGUGGUAUUUGGAUAUUGCUAGGAAUGAAAAUCUUUAUAUUAUAGAGUUGGUUGAUAGGAAAAAGCAGUCUUUGACUAGUGGAGUUUGGGGAACAUAUAAGAUCUGUUCAGUUUCCCUAGGAUAGUGUGGAGGAAAAAGCGGUCGGUACUCCUUUCACACAUUUUCAGGACCUUAUAUUAUGUAAAGUCACCUGAGAAACAGCCUUUCAAUGAAUUGCUGUUCAUUCGGUGAAUAUUUGUGAAGUACCUGCUUUAUACCCGGUAUUAUUCUACCAGCUAAGGACACAGAGGUGAACAAAAUGUCUUUGCCCUCCUGGAAUGAGUGUUAAGGUAGCUGAAUUAGGGGCGCCUGGGUGGCUCAGUGGGUUAAGCGACCAACUUCAGCUCAGGUCAAGAUCUCACCGUCUGUGAGUUCGAGCCCCACAUCAGGCUCUGGGCUGACAGCUCAGAGCCUGGAACCUGGAUUCUGUGUCUCCCUCUCCCUCUGCCCCUCCCCCACUCAUGCUCUGUCUCUCUCUGUCUCAAAAAUAAGUAAAAACAUUAAAUUGGUUAAAAUGAAAUAGAAAAAAAAGAAAAAAAAAGUUAGCUGAAUUAUAUGUAAGUGGUGUAUCUUCACGCUCCAUCUAACAUACUCAGGGUAUGUAAACUCCACAUUAGGUGAAAUGGGACGUGAAAUAAUUGGAUCACGGGUUUUGUGCUUGGAAUGACGUGGAGUUAGAAUGAUCCUAAGUACAUUUUUCCCCAAGGAGAGUAUUUGGGAGACAAGCGAAGGAGUCCUAUUAAUAAUGUAUAAGUAGGGGCGCCUGGGUGGCGCAGUCGGUUAAGCGUCCGACUUCAACCAGGUCGCGAUCUCGCGGUCGGUGGGUUCGAGCCCCACGUCGGGCUCUGGGCUGAUGGCUCAGAGCCUGGAGCCUGUUUCCGAUUCUGUGUCUCCCUCUCUCUCUGCCCCUCCCCCGUUCAUGCUCUGUCUCUCUCUGUCCCCAAAAAAAAAAAGUGAAAAAAAAAAAAAAAAAAAUAAUGUAUAAGUAAUUGAUUAAUGAAUGGAUAAAGAUGUGAUACACACACACACACACACACACACACACACACAAAUGGAAUGUUAGCCACCAAAAAGAGUGGAAUCUUGCAUUUGCAAUGAUAUGGAUGGAGCUAGAGAGUAUUACACUAAGUAAAAUAAGUCAGAGAAAGACAAAUACCUUAGGAUGUCACUAGUGGAAUUUAGGAAACAAAUGAACAUAGGGGAGGAAAAAAAAGGAGGCAAACCGAGAGGGAGGGUGGGGAGGGGUGGGUUAAACUGGUGAUGGGGAUUAAGGAGUGCGCUUGUGAUGAGCACUGGGUCUUGUAUUAAGUGAUGAAGCACUAAAUUCUACACUUGAAACUAGUAUUACACUGUAUGUUAAUUAACUGGAAUUUAAAUUAAAACUCUUGGAAAGAGAAAAAUAAUGUAUAAAUAAUCCAGGAUACAAAUACGUCUUUAGAAAUGCCCAUGUCUUUUCUCCCCACGUUGACUGUACAUUCCUUGAUAGUUUUGCACUGCUUCAGUACCACUAGCCACAUGCGGCUAUUUAAGUGUAGAUUAAUUAAAGUUAAGUUAAACAUGUAUUUCCUUAAUAUCAAGAGUUCACAUUCCAAGAAUUCAAUAGUUCUAGGUGACUAGUGACUACCAUGUCGGACAAUACAGAUGUAUUACAUGACAAUUACAUCAUCACAGAACCGUCUAUUGAUUGGUGCUGCUUUAUAGGGUCAUACAUUCUUUGUGACAUAGAAGAAAUAAAAGAAUUAGAUGUUGAUUUGGAAGAUGAAGGUGAAUGGACUAUAAAGAAAAAAGUUCUAUCAGUGCAAAGAAUGAGCGAUUGUAAGGCAGUUGUAAAGAAUGGAAUUGUUCAAAAAAAUACUGUGUGUAUGUGUGUGUUAUUAGGCUAAAUGUUUGCCUAUAAAAGGGGGAGAGAAGAGGACUAGGAUCCCCAGAGAAGCAGAAUAAAAAACAUGAGAACCUCAGGCAAGAUGGAGGAAAGCUGGGAUAUGAAAGAAGGUAAGAUUCCUCUUGAGUGUAUUGGAGAAGAACCCUUAAGUUGUUCACAGCCCUAUCACCUUUGAAAGUUGUUGUAAUUUGAGUUCCCAUUUCCUCUGUGACCUGCUUAACAGCAUAUGUGGUUUGCCUUUUCUAUUCCUUUUUCCUCUUAUGAUUGGGGCUCUUGUCCUCUCUCCUCUUUCCAGUCUUUCUCUUGAUUCAAUAAAGAUACCCUGCUUGAG